rnacentral:lncRNA from 1 species
CUGAGCCUUAGAGCCAGCUUUAAGAGUAGAACGGCUGGCAAAUAAAUGAGGCCCAAACUACAUGCAUGCGUUUGGAGGCUACGAAUCAUACCCUUAUCAUGAAGACAUCCCAUCCAACUACUGUCUCCUGUUUGCUCCAUAGAAUAUUUGAACACUUCUCUUGAAAUCUUCUGUCUGCCUUCUGACAUGUAUCUGACCGGUAUGUACAGAAAAGGAUCUGUGCCUUCCAGGACUUCAGACCUCAAAAUGAGUUCCUGUUCCUAGUGCAUUUUGAUACAGAUUCUGCUCUUUUGGAGUGCAGUGAAAUGAUUAUAAAAGGAGAAGGAAAUUGAUUCUGAAUUUUUCAUUAUAAGCAAAAAGCCUGUUAAUAUUUGGAAGCCUGUUAAUAUUCGUAUGGUUUAAACCACUGUGGCAGCUCAGCUUGUGAUGCAUUUUUGGAUGGUUUAGACAUGCUCAUACAGUUCAAGCCCCAGAUUCA